rnacentral:tRNA from 1 species
GAGGGUAUAGUUCAGUGGUAGAGCACAUGCUUAGCAUGCACGAGUUCCUGUGUUAAAUUCCCAGUACCUCCA